UACGUAGGUGACAAGCGUUGUCCGGAUUUACUGGGCGUAAAGAGCGCGCAGGCGGUCGUUCAAGUCGAGUGUGAAAGCCCCCGGCUCAACUGGGGAGGGUCACUCGAUACUGAUCGACUUGAAGGCAGGAGAGGGAAGCGGAAUUCCCGGUGUAGUGGUGAAAUGCGUAGAUAUCGGGAGGAACACCGGUGGCGAAGGCGGCAUCCUGGACCGGUAUUGACGCUGAUGCGCGAAAGCCAGGGGAGCAAACGGG
rnacentral:rRNA from 1 species